GGGAUGGCCGCCAUCGCUGAUAGGAGCGGCAAGUGGCCGCUGCUUCUCGGCUGCGCUCCGUCUCCUCCACCAUUCUCUGCUGGUCCCUCUCCUCCCCAUCAGCAAGCACGCAUUGGGUGUACACAAGGUGUUUGUGGAAAUGUCUGAGUGGAAUGAUUGCUUCGGAAGAUGACGAUGUGUGUUCUAAAGGAAGACUAUUGAAGUAGAAGAAUAGACGUAUAUCUUGCUGUUUGAGUAGGAAUUUGAUGGGGUCAAAAUCAUGCGCCUCCCACUUUUGUAUGUCAUGAGUCCAAUUGGACACUUUUAAGAAAUUCAUUUGUCUCAUCUGAUACACAAACAGUUGUACAUGGACAUCUUCAUUGGCAGCUGAUUUAUCUCCUGGCCAUCUUCUUCGGUAGCAGCCCGCUCAUCUCCACCGCUGCAGUGUCUCUCUGGUUGGAUGGAAGAUUUUUGGACAAGCAGAUAUAAAUUUGCAGGAAACAUCAGAUAAGAUGUCGUGGUAGUGGUACUCGUCAUACAGUUAGUGUUCUUAUGCAAAAUAAGCUUAUUGAUGGUCGAAAACCUAGAGCCAGGGUUGAGAUCACUGGGAUAUACAGGGCCAUGAGUAUCAGAACUGAACCAAGCUAGAGGUAGUGAAGUUAAUACUCAAGGUAGAGGCGUUAAAUCAUGCUACGAUAUUGCCAACAAUCUCCUUCAAACAGACAUACAAAUCUAGGCUUGAUAUUGAGGACUCUAUGGAUACUGCCAGCGCCAGAAAGUCUUAUGAAGGCCACUUUGUCAGAGUUAAGGUCUGUCUCAAUCUCCUCCUACCUCUUGGAUGAGACUUUGUGGAAAUAUUUUAGUAUUAUAUUCUUUUGUGAUUGCAGAUUGAGAAGUUAAAAUAAUAAUUUAUAAUGUUGCCUGACAUAUAUGAUAGUUUGACAAUAACAUUGGCUCUGAACAUCUUGGAAUUGUGUGUGUUAAUAUGGCCCUCCUCUGCCAUGUAUUUUCAAGCAAUAUAUUUAGCUUUCCCCUAAGAGGAUCAUCUCAUAAGCUAAUAGCUUAACAAUAGCGUAUAGAUUUUUGGUGGCAAUGCUUUGAGGCUUCCUUCUGGAUGCUAACUUCAGAGGUGACAUCGAUUAAAUCUCAGCUUCUCCAGUACAGCAUAAACUAUCUCCUCGUGGUAUUUACACAAGCGGAAGAGGCAGUUCAACCGUUGGCCUCACUGAUUAUGUUGCUGCAUCUGGUUGCCGGCGAGGUGUGAGCGGCGGCCGCUGCAUUUUCGACAGAUUGGUCUUGAGGGAAUGAGUAGAAAAAAAAUCAUUUGGUGAGUCAUUGGAUUGCCUCGGUUUAUUUGAGAAGGCCGAAAAUAACUCAAUUUCCUUUACUUUUU